UCCUACGGGAGGCAGCAGUGAGGAAUAUUGGACAAUGGUCGAAAGACUGAUCCAGCCAUGCCGCGUGCAGGAAGACGGCCCUAUGGGUUGUAAACUGCUUUUAUACAGGAAGAAUGGUACCUACGUGUAGGUAUUUGACGGUACUGUACGAAUAAGGAUCGGCUAACUCCGUGCCAGCAGCCGCGGUAAUACGGAGGAUCCAAGCGUUAUCCGGAAUCAUUGGGUUUAAAGGGUCCGUAGGCGGUCUGAUAAGUCAGAGGUGAAAUCCUGCAGCUCAACUGUAGCAUUGCCUUUGAUACUGUUAGACUUGAGUUAUUGUGAAGUAGUUAGAAUGUGUGGUGUAGCGGUGAAAUGCAUAGAUAUCACACAGAAUACCGAUUGCGAAGGCAGAUUACUAACAAUACACUGACGCUGAGGGACGAAAGCGUGGGUAGCGAACAGGAUUAGAUACCCUGGUAGUCCACGCCGUAAACGAUGGAUACUAGCUGUUCGACCAACAUGGGUUGGUUGAGUGGCUAAGCGAAAGUGAUAAGUAUCCCACCUGGGGAGUACGCUCGCAAGAGUGAAACUCAAAUGAAUUGACGGA
rnacentral:rRNA from 1 species